rnacentral:sRNA from 1 species
UCCUGGAGUGCAUAGGUGUGGUAUCC